rnacentral:lncRNA from 1 species
GAGGUGGAGGCUGGACUUGCCUCCAGGCAGUCUGGUUCCUGAGUGCAGACCCUCAGCUCCAGCACGACAUGACCUCUACGUCCAAAGCUGAGAGUUGAAUAUGACCAUGUCUCUGAAAGUUCAGGUUGCUGGAUGGUAUCCUGCACUGAAGCUGGAGGUCAGGGGUCAGAUGCUGUGCGCUGAUAGAAGAAUCUCUCCCAUUUUGGAGAAGGGAAUGGCAAAUCACUUCAGUGUUCUUGCCUGGAGAAUCCCCAUGGACAGAGGAGCCUGGCGGACUACAGUCCAUGGGGUCACAAAAGAGUUGGACACGACUGAGAAACUAACACUUUCACUUUCUGGUCCACCUUCUUCCCUCUUGGCAGUGUGAAAGGUAGGAACGGGAAAGAGGUAGGUCAUGCGCAGCCUUGCAGGGUGAGAAGGGAGCAUCUCCAUAAUUGGAACCAGCAUCACAGAAGUAGGGGCUGUGCCG